GUGCUUGCUUUGGCAGCACAUAUACUGAAACUGGAACAAUGAAGAGAAGAGCAGCACGCCCCUAUGCAAAGAUGACAUGCAAGUACAUGAAGUGUUCCAUAUUGUU